GAUGAACGCUGGCGGCGUGCCUAAUACAUGCAAGUCGAGCGAACGGACGAGAAGCUUGCUUCUCUGAUGUUAGCGGCGGACGGGUGAGUAACACGUGGAUAACCUACCUAUAAGACUGGGAUAACUUCGGGAAACCGGAGCUAAUACCGGAUAAUAUUUUGAACCGCAUGGUUCAAAAGUGAAAGACGGUCUUGCUGUCACUUAUAGAUGGAUCCGCGCUGCAUUAGCUAGUUGGUAAGGUAACGGCUUACCAAGGCAACGAUGCAUAGCCGACCUGAGAGGGUGAUCGGCCACACCGGAACUGAGACACGGUCCAGACUCCUACGGGAGGCAGCAGUAGGGAAUCUUCCGCAAUGGGCGAAAGCCUGACGGAGCAACGCCGCGUGAGUGAUGAAGGUCUUCGGAUCGUAAAACUCUGUUAUUAGGGAAGAACAUAUGUGUAAGUAACUGUGCACAUCUUGACGGUACCUAAUCAGAAAGCCACGGCUAACUACGUGCCAGCAGCCGCGGUAAUACGUAGGUGGCAAGCGUUAUCCGGAAUUAUUGGGCGUAAAGCGCGCGUAGGCGGUUUUUUAAGUCUGAUGUGAAAGCCCACGGCUCAACCGUGGAGGGUCAUUGGAAACUGGAAAACUUGAGUGCAGAAGAGGAAAGUGGAAUUCCAUGUGUAGCGGUGAAAUGCGCAGAGAUAUGGAGGAACACCAGUGGCGAAGGCGACUUUCUGGUCUGUAACUGACGCUGAUGUGCGAAAGCGUGGGGAUCAAACAGGAUUAGAUACCCUGGUAGUCCACGCCGUAAACGAUGAGUGCUAAGUGUUAGGGGGUUUCCGCCCCUUAGUGCUGCAGCUAACGCAUUAAGCACUCCGCCUGGGGAGUACGACCGCAAGGUUGAAACUCAAAGGAAUUGACGGGGACCCGCACAAGCGGUGGAGCAUGUGGUUUAAUUCGAAGCAACGCGAAGAACCUUACCAAAUCUUGACAUCCUUUGACAACUCUAGAGAUAGAGCCUUCCCCUUCGGGGGACAAAGUGACAGGUGGUGCAUGGUUGUCGUCAGCUCGUGUCGUGAGAUGUUGGGUUAAGUCCCGCAACGAGCGCAACCCUUAAGCUUAGUUGCCAUCAUUAAGUUGGGCACUCUAAGUUGACUGCCGGUGACAAACCGGAGGAAGGUGGGGAUGACGUCAAAUCAUCAUGCCCCUUAUGAUUUGGGCUACACACGUGCUACAAUGGACAAUACAAAGGGCAGCGAAACCGCGAGGUCAAGCAAAUCCCAUAAAGUUGUUCUCAGUUCGGAUUGUAGUCUGCAACUCGACUACAUGAAGCUGGAAUCGCUAGUAAUCGUAGAUCAGCAUGCUACGGUGAAUACGUUCCCGGGUCU
rnacentral:rRNA from 1 species